CCCAGACUCCUACGGGAGGCAGCAGUGGGGGAUAUUGCACAAUGGGGGGAACCCUGAUGCAGCGACGCCGCGUGGGUGAAGAAGCGCCUCGGCGCGUAAAGCCCUUUCAGCAGGGAAGAAAAUGACGGUACCUGAAGAAGAAGCCCCGGCUAACUACGUGCCAGCAGCCGCGGUAAUACGUAGGGGGCAAGCGUUAUCCGGAUUCACUGGGUGUAAAGGGAGCGUAGACGGCGACGCAAGUCUGGAGUGAAAGCCCGGGGCCCAACCCCGGGACUGCUCUGGAAACUGCGUCGCUGGAGUACGGGAGGGGCAGGCGGAAUUCCUAGUGUAGCGGUGAAAUGCGUAGGUAUUAGGAGGAACACCAGUGGCGAAGGCGGCCUGCUGGACUGCAACUGACGUUGAGGCUCGAAGGCGUGGGGAGCAAACAGGAUUAGAUACCCCAGUA
rnacentral:rRNA from 1 species